UACGGGGGGGGGCAAGCGUUGUUCGGAAUUACUGGGCUUAAAGGGUUCGUAGGCGGCUUUGUAAGUGAGAUGUGAAAUCCCACGGCUCAACCGUGGAAGUGCAUUUCAUACUGCAAGGCUUGAGGGAGACAGAGGUAAGCGGAACUGAUGGUGGAGCGGUGAAAUGCGUUGAUAUCAUCAGGAACACCGGUGGCGAAAGCGGCUUACUGGGUCUCUUCUGACGCUGAGGAACGAAAGCUAGGGUAGCGAACGGG
rnacentral:rRNA from 1 species